rnacentral:lncRNA from 1 species
UCAUAACUCACAACAUUUUUCUCAUAUUUUUCAUUUUCUGAAACCUCUACAUAAUAGCUUCAUUAGUAACAUUUACAAAUACAUCAUUUUCUAUGUAAACAAUUAUUUAAAAGAUUAUCUCCCAUAUGACUGUGAAGAACACUCUUCAUGACCUUCAUUGUUGAAAAAGCUUUUUCAACUUUAGUGGUGACAACUGAUAAAGUCAAUGACUACUUAAUUAACAAAUACAAAAAAAAAAAAACAUGAUGUUUCCUUAUAGAAACCAUAUUCUUGAUAAGAUCUUAAAUCCCUGAUAGUUUUCAGAACUUUACAACCAUGCGGACUCUAACAGUCUUCAGAACCGCAAGCUAAACUAGAAACGAACUCUAACACUUGAGUUCCAACAGUUCUAGUCUAUUACAAUUAAGACCUA